UUCAGCUGGUGGAAACAAGCUAUUUUCUUCAUUAAAGUUAAUCUGGAGUUGUUUUUAUUUGUCCUUUAUUUCUUUGUUUUUCCAAACCCUUACUUUCCAUCUUAAAAUCAAUACUGCGUAUGUUUUAAGACAGAAGAGUGUAAUGACAAAGCAAUGGGAGUUAAGUGACUUGCCCACAGAAACGCAGCUAGGAAGUGUCAGAAGUCAGAUUUGAACCUCUGGGCCUACUCUACCCACUGCGCCACCUCACUGCCCCCAUUCUUCAUUUUCAAAGAAGACCAAUGGCAUCAUGCAGUGAUUUGACUUGAGCAUGAAUUAGAUUUUAGUGGGGCAGAGUUGUGCAAACUCAUCAGUCUUCCUCUCUCUUCCUUGAAGUUCAGUGGCAAGACUGGAUGAACGGUGAUGGCCCAGAAAGGUGGAUGAACUCGACAUCUUCAAUGUCUGACCAAACCCUAAGUGCUCCACAGUUCCUGCUUCAGCCACCUUCAUGGUCAUCGUAAUAAAUUAUUCCCAUCUGCCCAUUCUGCUGAAAGAAGUCUCCCCAUCAUCCCUUGAACUCUCGUGUGUCAGCUACCCUCAACAUAGUUCAGCUCAUAUGCCAAGAUCACUUUACCCAGGUGCAGCCACCGCCCAAGAUACAGAGACAGGAACCACAGCUACAGAAAUUCAUGAAAACCAACUAUCAAAGACUAAGAUUUUUGCUGGUAAAGGAAUCACUAAUCCUGGAGGCAUCGUAGACUCUGGAGGGAUUGAAGAACUUAGAACGCUGAUGGGAUCAUAUCUGUAAUUCCACCACAGCAUUACCCCUCCAAGAAAAUCAGGAUGCAAAUCUAUUUUGUAACUGGGAGAAAACAAAGGUACGAGCUUUUCAUUGUACACAGUCUCCUGAAACACUUAAACAAAACAAAUGUCCAAUCCAUUUUGCUCAUUAUUAAUCAAGGGACAACAGUUUUCUAGGAGAGAGUAAUAGAAAAUAGUAACAAGCCUCGAUGGUGGCCAUUUGUCAUUCUCUCCCCCACAGCUUGUGGGGUAUCAAUGAGAGUAGAAUUGGCACCCCACAAUAGCCACUUCUGAUGUUCACAUCUCCUCUGGAGUUUCCUCAGAAUCCAACUCUAAUGACAGGAGAUGCCAGGUCAGACUAAUCCCAAGGGUCUAAACCAUUGGGUCAAGUGGUUUCUGGGUAACAGGCUUUUUUCAGUUGACUAUUCCUGGACACUGUGCCUAGUAGAGUAACAUCAUCAGAAUUGCCUGAUCUGCUCUAAGGAGGCCCCCCCAAAUGGAUGGGAACUCGAGUCUAAUUCCUUUUGGACUCAUUGAAGUUCGUCUACUUAUAUGCAGAGAGCACACAAGUUUCAUUUUCCCUAAUGUGACCAGGGAGUGGACAGCUACCAUGCCCCUGCCCGAAGCAGAAACAAAAUCAGACCUAUAUGCUCUUGAAAUAGAGCUCAAUGGGGAAAACUAGGUGAUUCAGUGGAUAGAGUGCCACAGCUGGACUGGGGAGAUCCUGGGUUCAAAUCUGGCCUCAGACAUUUCUUAGCUAUGUGACCCUGGGCAAAUCACUUAACCCUGUUUGCCUAGCCUUUGCCCUUCUAUCUUAGAGUUAAUACUAGGACAGAAAGCCACAUUUUAAAUAAUUAAUUUUUAAAAAAAGAAAUAGAUUCUGACCUAAUUUCAAUUCAGCUUUGAUUGAAUUUAUGUUUGAUAUGAAGGCAAAAAUGAUGCUAGAAAUGGGAUAUAGAAAAGUGGACAAGAUAUCACUCCAAUCCCUACAAAGCUUUUAAUCUAGUUGCUAGAGAGGGGAUGAAAGUCAUCCACAAAUUACUACAAUACCCUGAGAAUACCCCAGACCUGAUUUAAAGCUUCCCCUCCCUGGCAUUCAGUCAGCCUCUGGAGAUGAUGAGCCCAUCCAUCUCUAGCCAAAGCUUUGGUUUUGAGAGCUGAAAGGAUGUCUUAUCUCCAACCACUUCUUAAACUCUUUAUGAGUGUAACAGCUGGCCUUAGGCAUGGGAAAAUGGUGCUUCAACACCCUAGCACUAUGCCUUGGCAGGCAUAGAGUAAGACAGCAUCACAUCCCCAGUCCCACACACCAAGUCUUAAAAAUAUAAUCCAAGGGCCAUGCGAUCAAAAACGUUGCGCAAUGUUUUCCAUUUGUGAGAACUGUAAAUCUCCCAUUUGCUUCCAUUUUUUUUUUGGUGGGGGGAUAGAAUCCCUCCAAUAACUUGUAAUUGAAAAUUAACUUCUAGGAAUGAUAACAUGACUACACUGAGGACAUCGGUGAACACCAUCUACUUUUUAUUUGACUCAUUUGUUGAUUUUAUUUCCAUGUUAGGCAGCAAAGCUGUGGUAGAAGGAAUACUUGACUUAGGAACAAGAGAGAUCUAGGUUUGCAUCUUGCUUCCUAAUAGUUGCUAAUUUUGUAAACAUAGGCAAGCCGUAUAAGCCUCAGUUUCCUCAUCUGGAAAAUGGGGAUAAUGAUAGUACUUACCUUAGGAGAACAGAUGAGGCGAUGUUUACAAUGUACUAUAAAAGUCUGCAAUUAUCACUAUAUUUUUCACUUAAAAUGUGGCCAUUUCCCAAGAGCUCUUGAAAACAGACACACAUUCUACCUCUCAGCUGUCUGCAGCAUGAAACACAUUUUUGGCUCUUGGUAUCUGGUGACUGAUGACAACUUGUAAUUUCAACUAGAUCCAAAAACUGAAGUUCUAUGUAAAGAAAAACGGAUGAAGAUUCCCCAGGAGGGAGAAAAGGUCAUUCUUACACAAUAGCCUGAAGGGCAAAAAUCUGGAGGGCCUCAAGCCUGAAGGGAAAAGAAACUACUGAGAUGGAAAAUACCUUCAAUCCAGAUCCCUGAGACUCAAAGCAGCUGCCUGCUCACAACUGAAAGUGGGACAAUUAGGUUUGGGGUCCCAGUGACAGAUUAGAUCCAGAAAAAAAGGAAUAUAUUAUGGAGAUUCUUGGCUAACUCGGGUAAAAGAUUGUGCGCCCAAGUUAGAGGGUCUCUAAGGACCCUUCCAGUUUAAAUCUGGUGUUGCAAAAUGCCCCUAGAUCUCUCUCUCUCUCUCUCUCACACACACUCUCACACACACACACACACACACACACACACACACAAAGCAAAGGGAGGGGAGGAAGGGCACAGGGAGUGAGCUCUCCACGUUAUAACACUCAAUUACUUGAGAUGCCUUGAAUCCUGAUGGGGAGGGAGGAGUGCCUUAAGGGCCUAGCCCCAGCAUCUCCUGUCUUCCAUUGAGGUGGCAGGAGUAGAUUAGUGGAGUUUGGCUAUCAUCCCCCCCAAACAGGCUGCUCUUCACUUAUAGGAGACACAGGUCAUGACCUCCCAAUGGUUCAGUCUCCAUUGUACAGCAUCCAUUUCUAAAAUUACCCUAUUCCCCCCACACACAACAUUUGCCUUCAGGGUCUGAGCUUCAGAGCACAGCUGUGCUUCUGGGAAUGGAAACAAAGAGGUUUUGACACUUCUUAAAGAAGCACAGAAAAAAAUGUGAGAAGAAGGAGAAGGAAGAGGAGGAAGCUGAAAUGAUGCUGUUUGUUGCAGGGGUUGCUUAUUUUCACUCUUUGGGAAGGGUGAUUUUUGGAUUUCUAUGUUUGGUUAAUAUCACCAGAGGCAAGUGAUGAAGAAUUCACGAGUAUAUCAAGUGACUGAGGAUAAUGUAAGAACCAUGACGACAUCUUUUUUUUAGGGGGGAGGGAGGUAAAAAGGAAAUUUAUUCUCUUUUAUCACAUCUUCUAAAUGCAUAACUAGGCUCAACAACUUAAACUGCCCCCAAGAUGGCAGACCAAGAACCAACUGCAAUGAUGUUUUUGAUGGAGUUUUCAUGGUCAACCUUCCAUGCAAGCCUGUUGUUUCUAUGAUACUUUUUAGGUGACACUCAGAAGAAGUGGAACCAAAAAUUAUAAAGAUUUUUUAUUAUAAAAUCAUAAAAAAUUAUAAAGAUUAAUUGGCAGGCAGAGUAUAGCUAGUUGCUUUAGUUGAUGGAGAUCCAGGGCUGGAGAUGAGAGAUCCUGGAUUCCAAUCUGGCCUCAGACACUUCCUAGCUGGGCAAGACAUUUAAUUCCAAUUGCCUAGCCCUUGCCACAUCUUCUGCCUUGGAACCAAUACUUAGUAUUGAUGACUUUGGCCAGUCCAUAAUGCCCAGAAUGUAUUCCUUCCUUAUUUCUACCUCUUAGAAUCCUUAGAUUCCUUCAAGUUUCAACUCAGGUACCACCAAUAAAAUGUUUUUUAAAGUGCUUUGGUUACUGGUGAGCUCCCCAUCUCUCUCUCUCUCUCUCUCCCUGUCUUCAUCUCUUUUUCUCUCUUUGAUGAAACCCCAAACAUAUGUUGCCUAGAGAAAGAAAGUCAUAAAGAAUUCUUCUUCUUCUUCUCCUUCCUCCCCUUUUUUCUUUUUCUUUCUUCUUUUUUCUUCUUCAUCUUCUUUUUCUUAUUAUAUUUCUUCCAGAUUUCAUAUAAAUACAAUUUUAAUCAUUGUUUUCUGACUUUUUUGCAAUCCAUAAUCUCUCCCUUCUUUCCAACCUUCACCUCUCCCCAAGAUGGCAAGCAAUAUGAUAUAGGUUAUACAUAUACUAUCAUGCAGUACAUAUUUCCAUCUUUAGCAUACUGUAAAAGAAGACACAUACCACUUAUACUAGAAAAAACUCAUGAAGGAAAUGAAAUGAAAAUAGUUUGCUUCAAUCUGCAUUUAGACUCCUUGUUAUUAGUUCCUUUUAGGGCAGUAGAUAGCUCUUUUCAUUAUGAAUCCUUGGAGUUGUCCUGGAUCCUUGUACGGCCGAUAAUAGUUGAUCACAGUACAUUAUUGCUAUUACUGUGUACAAAAUCCUCCUGGUUCUACUCACUUCAUUUUGUAUCAGUUCACCUAAGUCUUUCCAGGUUUUGUUUUGAUUUUUGUAAUCAUGCUGUUCAUCAUUCCUUAUAGCACAAUAGUAUUCCAUUACACUCAAAUAUCACAACUUGUUCAUCCAUUCUCCAAAUGUUGGGCAUCUCUUCCGUUUCUAAUUCUUUGCUACCACAAAAAAAAUAGCUGCCAUAAAUUUUUGUACAAUUAUGUUCUUUUCCCCUAUCAUUCUUUUUUAUUUUAAAUAUACAGUCCUAGAGACUUCCGGGUAAGCAUGGCUGCAGAGUAGAUAUGGCUCGCUUCCUCUCCUCAGAACCAUGACACAGUCGACCUCAAAAGACCCCCCAAAAACAAACAAAAAACAACCAUCCUCAUGAGAAAGGAGAGACCCCACACUAAAGUGCAGGACUGAAGGUAGAUGGGAUUCUGGCAUUUCCAUAAUAUAAGGAAACAAAAACUGACCCACCCUCCCCCACCCACCACACCGACAGAAGCCAGAGUUUAAGUCGGCACUGGCCAGAAUCAACAAGUGAGGGAAGGGCACCCCAGGACUGAACAACAGGCAGCCCCAGGUCUGGGGACCUGAAUAAGACCACCAAAGACCUACUCCUGAGAGUAGUAACACCCGAAACCCCAACAGGUGGGCAAAGGGAACUCAGAUCCCGGGCACCCAGAACUAGCGCGCUAUAAUCAACGAGUGCGCAAAGGGAUCCCCUGAAGUGAGCAAGGGACACCCACAGGUCUUGGGAGUUAACUAAAACCACCAAAGAACUACACCUGAGAGCAAUAACACCUGAAAUGCUGGCAGGCAGGGGAGGGCAGACCCUGGGCUUCCCCCCCACCCAAGACAGCGCAGCUGCAGAGAACCAAGAAUAAGCCCGAGGCUAAAGCCUUGAUCAUUUGACCCUUACACUGAGAGCAAGCCCUCCUCACUGUGGAAAGGAAACUAGACUAACAGUUUGGGUGGGGGAGGGCCAACUGGGAGGGGCAGUUGGGUCUUGUGACUAGAACUUCCUUCCUGCCGUGUGGGUCUUGCUGCCUGGUGUUGGAGGAGAGAGGAGCUUGUUCAACCCAGUCUGGGGUGGCAUGCUCUUCUUGGUUCAGCCCAAAGACACAGGCUUCUAAAGGUUAGAAUUGUUCUUGUUUGCUUUCUGUGUACUGCUAAGAUUCUGAAUUAGAACAACGAGAGUAGACGGGAGUGGGACAAACUCUCCGCCAACCUCUGGGGCCUGGCCUUAGGUCUGAAACUGAGAAAAGCUCCACUCCCAACUAGUUAUUAAACUUUAUGUUAUUUGAAUUCGCAGUCAGAUAAGUGGACUCUCUUUUCCGGUCAUAGAGGGAGCUGAACUUCAGUUUAAGUCAUUCAAAGACAAACCGUCCUUAUUGGACCCCUGCUGUUUCCUCUCAGCAGGGGGCAUCUCCCUCCCUUGCCUCACUAAGCAAUAUUCCCUCUCUCCCUUUAACUCCUCCUUACCCCUAUACAAACCUCCCAUUAUUCCCCAUUUAUCCCAUUUUUCCCAAUCCUAUUUCCUUUCCCAAUAAAUAUUACAUCACUCAGAUUUCUGACUGGAAAGGGAAGAAAAAAAACAUAGAGAUGGUAAACAGUGCACAGUAGCAACAGCCUCCCAACACCAAGAAAAGCAAGAAGAAGGGGGUGACUUUGGAUAUGUUUUAUGGAGGAAAAAAACAGAAUACAGAGGAAAUAGAAGAGGAAACACAAACAAAUGCUCCAAAACCUUCCAAAAGAAAUGGAAAUUGUCCACAAGCUCUUGAAUAAUUUAAAUUGGAAGUUAUCAAAAAGAUAGAAGCCUUCUGGCAGGAAAAAUGGGAAAUAAUGCAAAAGGAACUUGGCAAUCUGAAAGACGAAAACAAGCAACUGCAGAAACAGCUUGAAGCCUCAAAAAGCAGAACAGACCAAACUGAAAAGGAAAAUAAGUCUUUAAAGGUCAGAAUCAGGCAACUGGAAGACAAUGAUCUUGCAAAAGAGCAAGAAUUAAUAAAGCAAAGUCAAAAGACUAAGGAUUUAGAGGAUAACAUUAAAUAUCUCACUGACAAGGUGACAGAUCUGGAAAAUAGAGGAAGGAGGAUCAUUGGUCUACCAGAAAAGCCAGAAAUAAACAGUAAUCUUGAUAUCAUAAUACAAGAUAUCAUCCAAGAAAACUGCCCAAAGAUUCUAGAAUAAGGGGGAAAUAUAGGCAUUGAAAGAGUUCACAGAACACCCUCUACACUAAAUCCCCAAAAGACAACUCCCAGGAAUGUAAUUGCCAAAUUCCAAAGCUUUCAAGCAAAAGAAAAAAUCUUACAAGAAGCCAGAAAAAGACAAUUUAGAUAUAAAGGAAUGCCAAUCAGGGUCCCACAAGACCUUGCAAUUUCCACACUGAACAACCAUAAGGCAUGGAACAUGAUAUUCAGAAAGGCAAGAGAGCUGGGUCUUCAACCAAGAAUCAGCUAUCCAUCAAAACUAACUAUAUACUUCCAGGGGAAAGCAUGGGCAUUCAACAAAAUACAAGAUUUCCAAGUAUUUGUAAAGAAAAGACCAGAGCUCUGUGCAAAGUUUGACAUCCAAACACAAAGAGCAAGAGAAAUGAGAAACAUGAAAAGGUAAAUAUGAAGGAAAGGGAAAAGGAGAAAAAUGUUAUCUUUUUCUUUUAUCCAAAUUCUCUUCUAUAAGGACUACAUUUAUAUCAAAUUAUAUAUAUUAAUAUGUGAGGAAAAAUGUAAUGUGUAACUCUCAAAAAUUGUAUGCAUCGUUAGAGUAGUUAGAAGAAUCACGCAUAGGAAAAGAUUGGGGUAUCAAGACGAUAUGGAGAAAGGGGGGUGAAAGAAAAAGGGAGGGGGUAUCGUUAAUGGUACUAAGAUAUACCUCAAGAAAUAGAAAAAAAACUAAAUAAAAUAAUCUUUGUCACACAAAGAUACACAUGGGAAGGGAAGGGGAAGAAGUCUCCUAUAAGAAGGAGAGGAAGAGAGUGCGAAUAGGUAUUACUUAAACCUUACUCUCAGUGAAAUCAACUCUGAGAGGGAAGAACAUUUAGAUCCAUUGGGAUCUUGAAUUCUAUCUUAUCCAACAGGGUAAGAGAGAAGGGGAAAUUAAGGCAGGGGAAGGGUGAGGGAAUAUAAAAAGGGAGGGAAGGAGAGGGGGG